rfam:Sphaerobolus stellatus SS14 unplaced genomic scaffold SPHSTscaffold_135, whole genome shotgun sequence.
UCUUAGGUAGUAUAGUGGUUAGUAUUCGCGCCUGUCAAAGACUAGACCCUAGCACGCGCGAGACCGGGGUUCAAUUCCCCGCCUGAGAG